UCAGUGAACCGGCUUGUCGCUGCUCCGCAUGGAGGAGAGGAAAGUCCGGGCAACGUAGGGUAUCCCGCUUCCUAACAGGAAGAGGUCCGUGAGGGUCUGUCAGUGCAGAAGAAAAGAACUGCCCGCAAGGGUGAGGGUGAGAAGGUGGGGUAAGAGCCCACCAGGUCGGCAGUGAUGUCGAUGCUGUGCACUCCGGGAGUUGAAAGUUCAUGUAAACCGGCGAAGAAAAAGAGAGGGCGACCCGUCCGAGCCGGAGGGUAGAACGAUAGAGGUCAGGUGGUGACGCCGGCCGUAGAUAAAUGACAAGCAUCCCCUUCGCAGGGGAGCACAGAACCCGGCUUACAGGUUCACUGAGACA
rnacentral:RNase_P_RNA from 1 species